GGGGAAGGGCCAUAUCUCAGUGGUAGAGCAUCAGCUUUGCAUGCAGGAAGUUCCAGGUUCAAUCCCUGGCUUCUCCU